AUUUUCAAAGUUAAAAACUUGUACAUUACUGGACAUAGUGAUGGCGCUAUGAAUUUCUGGGAUGUAUCAUGUCCCUUUCUUCUCCCAAUUUUAUCGUUGAAGCAACAGAGUGAGGAUGAUUUUUCAUUAAGUGGUAUAGCACUGACAGCAUUGUAUUUUGAUGGCAAGUCUCGGCUCCUUGUUUCUGGAGAUCAGAGUGGAAUGGUCCGCAUCUUUCAAUUUAAACCCGAGCCAUAUGCCGCAGAAAACAGUUUA